GCCUCUGGUUACCACCUUCUCAUCAGUAUCCUGCCGAUUACAUAUCUCCUACUUAUGUUACACAGCUGUCUCUAAUAAAUUUGAUUAUACUGUUUGGCAUAAUCUGUACUAUUUACAAUGUUUCUUUGAAUGUAGGUACUGAUGUGGUUGGCCUACUUAUAAUUUAGGAGUUUCCACAAAUUCUACGGUUAGUACCGAUGUCUCUCUUUUUUUUUUUUUUUCCUUAACUAAUCUGUAUAUGAUUCUUCUUGCCCUUGCCUAGUAAUGUCAUUGGUUUAUACCUCUCCUGUGGCUGAUCAUUACUGUAUCAAUUCAUCCACGGUGUGAUGUAUUGUUGUGAGUCUGAUUUUUUGCAAUAUAUAUAUGUUUAUAUAUAUUCAUUAUUGCAGUGUUUUAAU